rnacentral:rRNA from 1 species
GACAGAGGGUGCAAACGUUGUUCGGAUUUACUGGGCGUAAAGCGCGUGUAGGCGGCUUUGCAAGUCGGAUGUGAAAGCCCACGGCUCAACCGUGGAAGUGCAUCCGAAACUGCAUGGCUUGAGUCUCGGAGAGGAAGGUGGAAUGCUUGGUGUAGAGGUGAAAUUCGUAGAUAUCAAGCAGAACACCUGCGGCGAAGGCGGCCUUCUGGACGAUGACUGACGCUGAGACGCGAAAGCGUGGGGAGCGAACGGG